GUCUGGGUUCAGUGAGUGUACAUGUACAGCAGCAGUGGCGACAUCAAAUAGAAAACUUCACUCUUCUGGCAACAAGUGGUAAACACAACAGCCCUGAAAACAUUGGGGAAGAUUUUGGAACCUUUAUGUUUGUUUUAAAAUCAGAUAUGAUGAAAAUGAAAAUCCUCUAAGUUUCUUUAGAAAUUAAAAUCUGUGCUACAUGUCAAUUAUUAAAGGAGACAAAUCCAAUAUUUGUGGACAUAUCUUCUUUGUUCCCCCCAGAUCUUCAGUUAUGGAUUCUUCAAUUUCAUGUCUGUAUGUGUGUCUUGUUCCUGUCAUUUGUCAAACUGUGGGUUGGUCUUAUCCAGACUCCUCCUGAUUAUGUCAUUUCCAUUUUUUUUGGGGGGGGCGCUGCUGACAGUACAUGCUGAAAAACUCAAGCGCAUGUGUGUACAUGUGUGUCUGUGUGUGAACCCAAGUGUGGGGUGUAUUUUGCUAUAUGAGGUUAUACGCUGAUAUUUUAUGCUGCAUUAUUAAAGAGAACAUGCCGGUGGCUAAUUAAGCAGUUGCCCCUCCCCCUUGCCUUCUCUCGGCUUUCCUCAUCUCUGGUGAAGUGAUUGCUUGCUCAAAGCAUUGCUGUUUCACUGACAUGGCCCUGUUGAGAUGUGACAACAAAGGCAACGGAUCCUAAUGCAUCAAAAAUUAAAAAUACCCUGAGAAGAUGAGACAAGACAAUAUCCAGAGCAUGGAAGAGCAAAGAGCCUAGACAUCAUAUACCACAGGACAGUUUGAUAAUGCAGAAUGGAGAACUAACUUGACCCAAGCCCACAUGUGACUGUUCACCUCGCACAUGACCUCUGCACUCCACCUGACAGUUUGAUUAAUUACUCACUUCAAUGAUUCAUGGGUAAGAAAUAUUUUCAAAUAAUGGGCAACAGGUGGUUCUCAAGGACAUGGCUGGGUGAGAAUGUGUGAACAUCAAGCACAUGACAAAGUUUUGUUGCAAUAAAGGUCAUAACACAGAAUGAGGACAAUGA